GUUCCAGACUCCUACGGGAGGCAGCAGUGGGGAAUAUUGGGCAAUGGGCGCAAGCCUGACCCAGCAACGCCGCGUGAAGGAAGAAGGCUUUCGGGUUGUAAACUUCUUUUCUCAGGGACGAGGAAAGUGACGGUACCUGAGGAAUAAGCCACGGCUAACUACGUGCCAGCAGCCGCGGUAAUACGUAGGUGGCAAGCGUUAUCCGGAUUUAUUGGGUGUAAAGGGCGUGUAGGCGGGAACGCAAGUCAGAUGUGAAAACGCAGGGCUCAACCCUGGGCCUGCAUUUGAAACUGUGUUUCUUGAGUGCUGGAGAGGCAAUCGGAAUUCCGUGUGUAGUGGUGAAAUGCGUAGAUAUACGGAGGAACACCAGUGGCGAAGGCGGAUUGCUGGACUGUAACUGACGUUGAGGCUCGAAAGCGUGGGGAGCAAACAGGAUUAGAUACCCUGGUAA
rnacentral:rRNA from 1 species